AAAAGGGGGGAAUAGAAAAAGGGGGGAGGGAGAGAAAAGAAAGAAAUAAUGAAAAAAGAAAGAAUAAAAUUGUAUGGAAAAUACCAUUGAUAGAAAUAAGGGGGGGGGGAUCAAAUUAGAUUGCAAACCCCAGACCAGCCUCCCUCCCUCCCUCCCUCUCUCUCUCUCCCCCCCUUCCUCCUCCCCCUUUUCU